UGUGGAAAAUUCAGUGCAGGGGUAAAAUGAUAAUUUUAAAACUUUUUUAAAAUUAUGAUUUUACAGUGGAAAAAUAUUAAUUAAUCUAAUUAAUUAACAUAAAUUUAUCCUACACUAGGAUCUAAAUAUGAUAUAUAGCAUGCAUUCAUUUAAAUUUGAAUUUCAAAUUUAAACAGUAAACACUUUACUGUAAUGUGUUUAGAACACAAUACCUUUGUGCGGGUAGUAGAUCGCCGCAAUCUGAUCAC
rnacentral:lncRNA from 1 species